AUUGAACGCUAGCGGCAUGCCUUACACAUGCAAGUCGAACGGUAACAGGUCUUCGGAUGCUGACGAGUGGCGAACGGGUGAGUAAUACAUCGGAACGUGCCUAGUAGUGGGGGAUAACUACUCGAAAGAGUGGCUAAUACCGCAUGAGAUCUACGGAUGAAAGCAGGGGAUCGCACGACCUUGUGCUACUAGAGCGGCCGAUGGCAGGUUAGGUAGUUGGUGGGAUAAAAACUGACCAAGCCGACGAUCUGUAGCUGGUCUGGGAGGACGAUCAGCCACACUGGGACUGAGACACGGCCCAGACUCCUACGGGAGGCAGCAGUGGGGAAUUUUGGACAAUGGGCGCAAGCCUGAUCCAGCAAUGCCGCGUGCAGGAUGAAGGCCUUCGGGUUGUAAACUGCUUUUGUACGGAACGAAAAGCCCUGGGUUAAUACCCUGGGGUCAUGACGGUACCGUAAGAAUAAGCACCGGCUAACUACGUGCCAGCCGCCGCAGUAAAAC
rnacentral:rRNA from 1 species